CUGAUUUCAAAAUUAUCCAAGGUGUUGAAUUGGCCUAAAUUGUUAAAAUGUUUCUUUAAGUUGCGACGGAGAGAUACAGUUCUAGAAUACCUGAGUGCUCAUACCACAUAGUUCUACUUAGAUGGAAGCUCUUCUGCAAUGCUACCUCUUGAAGGGAAUGGCACAGCUGGGUGAUUUUGACUCAUGAGGGUUAAGAUGUUGGCUGGGCUGAAGGCCAUUUUGGAUCUGGAAACAUCUACUUCCAAAGGAAUGGCAAGUUAGCACUGGCUGUUGGUUGCAGACCUCAAUCCUUGCCAUGAAGACUUCUGCAUCAGGCUGACAGAGUGUUCCCACAACAGAGCAGUUUGCUGUUUGCAGAGCAGAUGAUCCAAGAGAGAACACAGUAGAACUCACAAUGUUUUUGACCUAACUUUGGAAGUCACACACUGUCAGUUUCACAAUAUUCUCUGGUCUGCAGAUAGGUGUGAAUACCAGGAGAUGGAGAUCAUUAGGGACCAUUGUGGAGACUGGCUACCACAGCAUUCAUUUUCAAAAGUCGUGGAGAAAAAAGAGAUUGGAACUAUAUUCAAAGUAACCAAGACUGUGGACACCAUUAUCAAGAGCACAGAAAUCUUAGCUUCAAGAAACUCAACAAGCAGUGUUACAAAAUUGAAAUAUUUCUAUUUAUCAACCUCUUGGAAUCUACUGGGUUAGAUGUCCUCAGGGGUUAGCUCUUCUUUACUCUAACCUUUUAUAUAAUAUUUCUCUUUCUAGGCAUGACUUUUUAAAAAAU